rnacentral:lncRNA from 1 species
GGUGAUUUUAAGAGUUUUGUAAUAGAUCUAUGAGUGAAAUUUUGUCAAUUUAUGGUUAUAGUUGUGUUUAUUAUGUAACAUGAAUUUGAGCUCGAUUUAACAAUUAAAUUGAGGGAUAUCGAGGUUUAAAUGGGUCAAGGUCUCAAAAAAUAGAAUUUUAGGUUUAGUGAGUAUUUUUAAGAUUUCUUGCAAUCUAUGAGUUGGAUUGGAGUGAAACUUAUGUGAAAAGAUAUAAGACUU